UAACGCUCCUUGUAGCUUAUUUUUAAAUAAAUGAACUUCCCUCACCGAUACCGGCUUGAAGCAAGAUGGUAGAGUCCCAGAUAAACUGUUCAUGGAAAGGUCCAAAAAUUGAAGUUUGAAAUUGAGACUACAAAUUGCCCUAGGUAUUGAACCUUCAAGUUGAUUAUCUGCCAUGGCAACUUGUUCCAAAUUCGAAGCAUAUCCCCUCCAUUGUGGCAAUCUACCAAAGAGUUGGUUCCUGCUCACAUCCAAUGCUGCCAGCUCUGACAUAUUCCAAAUCCAACUUGGGACUUCACCAAAGAUAGAGUUAUUGCUAAGAUCUAGUAUAUACAAGUAAGAGCAGUUAGCUAAGACAUUUGGGAUCAUCCCAGUGAAGUUAUUUCCAUUUAAUUCAAGCGUGGAAAAGUUCGUUAGAUUAAAAUUUCCAGAGAAAAUUGAUCCUUGUAAUUUGUUAUUUGAUAAUGCAAGGACCUGUAAUAAAGAGCAGCCCAUAGUCAUGUGCUCAGGUAUCUCUCUAGACAAUUGGUUGUUUGAUAAGUCCAGAACUUCUAGGGAACUCAUAUCACCAAAUGAAGAGGGAAUGCUGCCAUUGAAAUAAUUCUUUGACAUGUUCAAAUAACCCAAAACUGGUAGGUGUGCUCCCAUUUUUACUGGGAUGUUGCCACCGAAGGCAUUGUUGGAGAUAUCCAAAUAUGAUAAAGCAGAAUGCACAUACGAUGGCACUUGAAAUGGCCCUGACAGAGAGCAAUUCAUGAGACUCAGGGUUACUAGCUUCGUGUUGUUUUCCAACAACCAAAACGGAAAUCGAUCCACCUUGAAAUAUAUGUCUGAGAGAAAAACAACCCACAACUCACUUUGAUGGUACAAGAAUUGUGGAAAUGACCCACCACUUCCACAACAAGAUAACUUGAUGGUACUCAAUUGGAACCUUGGAGCCGAAGAAUGCGACAUCUCAUGAUCAUCAGCAUGUAUGUUGUUGUUAUCUGCAUUGAGGUCCUUGAGUUUUGAAAGGUUGAACAAGGGUCUUAAUGAGCUUGGGAUGUGAAAUUUAUUGUUUGAAAUAUCCAACAAUUGGAGGGAUGUUAGACUUUCAAGGGCAGAUAUAUUUCCAGAGAACUGAUUAGAAGAGAGGUCCAAAGAUUCAAGCAAUGUUAGGCUUUAAAGGGCAGAUAUAUUUCCAGAGAACUGAUUGGAAGAGAGGUCCAAAGAUUCAAGCAAUGUUAGGCUCUUAAGGGCAGAUAUAUUUCCAGAGAACUGACUGGAAGAGAGGUCCAAAGAUUCAAGCAAUGUUAGGCUCUUAAGGGCAGAUAUAUUUCCAGAGAACUGAUUGGAAGAGAGGUCCAAAGAUUCAAGCAAUGUUAGGCUCUUAAGGGCAGAUAUACUUUCAGAGAACUGAUUGGAAGAGAGGUCCAAAGAUUCAAGCAAUGUUAGGCUCUUAAGGGCAAAUAUAUUUCCAGAGAACUGAUUGGAAGAGAGGUCCAAAGAUUCAAGCAAUGUUAGGUUCUUAAGGACAGAUAUAUUUUCGAAAAGCUGAUUGUAAGAAAGAGAUAACUUUUUAAGGGAGGUGAGGUUGGAGAAACACAUGGGUAAGCUACCCCUUAGAUUAUUGCCAUUGAUAUCCAACUCUUGGAGAUUUAUCAAUUCACAGAAAUCUGCAAAAGCAGUAGUAUUAUAUGUAUAUAUUUAAGGAGUUUACAAAUAGGUACAAAUCUAAAUAACAAAUAAUAUGUUAAAUUAAUUAGAAUUUUAAUCAACUCAAUAUAAAAUAUUCAAGGGUGAAAAUUAGAAUAUAUUCAAAUCUAAAUCAAAAUAAAUUUAAGUAAAACUCAUAUAUAAUGGACUUGAAAUUUACAAUUAUUUGGGAGAGAAUCUACAUGUGAUGGGAUUUGAAUCUAGGCAUUCAAGAUGCUAAGCCCUAAUUCUUUGCCUUUAGUGCUAGUUAUAUUGCUUAAGUUUAAUUUUUUUUUUCUGGUCCAUAUGCUUUGUAGAAUUAAAAAUUUUAGUCUUUCUACUUGUGCAAUUUGAAAUUUAAAGGUUAAUUGGUGUAUUGUUAAUGAAUUUCCAUUUUGAAUCCGAAUAUCCAUUUUGAAUCCGAAUAUUAUCCAUAUCCAUAUCAAGAUGCUAAGCCCUAAUUCUUUGCCUUUAGUGCCAGUUAUAUUGCUUAAGUUUAAUUUUUUUUUUCUGGUCCAUAUGCUUUGUAGAAUUAAAAAUUUUAGUCUUUCUACUUGUGCAAUUUGAAAUUUAAAGGUUAAUUGGUGUAUUGUUAAUGAAUUUCCAUUAAAUUGAAAUAUAUGCAUUUUAAUAUUCAAAGGUUUGAUUCAAGUAGUUAAAUUUUUUAUUUAUAUAUAAAAUCAAAAUUGUAAAGUGGAUUUAAAUAUCUUUCCUUUAUGGCUUUACAUGAAUAAGCAAAGCAAAUUCAUAUGUAUUUAUCCAUAUCUAUUUUGAAUCCAAAUAUUAUCUUAAUUUGUAACAUUUGAAUAUAGAAAAAGCAGAUCAAAUCUAUGGAUAUUUUAAUCUAUACUCCAAAUUACCACAUUUAAGAGAAACUAAAUUUAAAAUUUUAAAAAUUCAACACAAUUAUAUAUAUUAUAUCUAGAGAUAUAUAAAACUAAAAUGAUGAGUAACUUAGAAUAGAACAUUUACCAUUCAUAGGUGGAGUGUUGUUACCAUCAAUACCAUGGGCGGUCAAAUUUUUAAGGGAAAUGAGUGGUCCAAAAACUUGAAUAAAGUUUGAAGGUAAAGAUGAUUCAUGCAACUCCAACUCUUCCAAACUUCUUAAAUUUAGCCCUUCUGUUCAAUUACAUUAAUUGCAAGUUAUAUUUUGAAGAAAAUAUGAGAAACAAAGUAUUUUUAUAAAACUAUGAAGAAAAUAUCAAAUAUGAGGAUCAAAUCCUAACAAAUUAAAAUAGAGAAUUAACUUCUCAAUUUUCAUAAAAUAAAGGAAUGCAAUUUAUGAUUACAACAUUUUGAGUAUUCUUAUAUAUUAUUAAAAAAAAGUUUAAUAAUUUAUUGCAUUCUCAUCUUUACAUCCUUUCAUAAUUUUUUUUUUUUUGAAAAUAGAUCCACAGAAUGCAUUAGUUUGGGGGGAAAUUACAACAUUGGAAAAUAGUUUCCUAAAAAACCACGAGGCUGCCUAACAUUUUGUCACUUGUCACCUCAUGCACUGCUAACAAUGGGCGAUGCCUUGGGUGAGAAAAACCCUAAAAAAACUUAAACCGCGCCUUAACAUCCUUUCAUAAAUUAAAACUACGAAAUUAAUUAAUCAAGAUUUAUUUAUUUUUUUAAAAUCUGGAAAAUGGAUUUAAAACAAAAAUUUGACCUUUCAAGUAAACAAUAUUAUCAAGUAUCUAAUAUUAAGGACAAUUUUAAAUAAAAAUACUUAAAAUCAAAUAAAUAUUAUCAUAAGAGGAAAAUUGAAAGAAUAAAAUUACCUUGUCGAGUGAAGUUUUUAUUGACCUUACAAUAGGACAACUCUAAACGCUUCAAUGAAGUAAAUUCUGCUGUAACAGAGGCUUUCAAUAUCAAAAUGUGUGUGAAAGACAAAAAGGCAAAGAUAUUAGAGAAAUAUUCCAACAAAAUAUGUACCAUCAAAUAUAAAAAUAAAGUAAUUAAAUUUAAAAAAUGCGAUGAGUAUAAGGACUGUAUGCAUAAUUAGACUUACAUAUAUAAAUUAAUUCAUAAUAUUUAAUUUGUAAGAAAACAUCAAAACUUACCAUUGUGGGAAUAAAAAGGCAUUGUGGUUUCAUUAAUAUUAAAUCCUUGUAAAGAAAGAGUCUUCAAAGUGGGGAAUAAGCCCAAUGAUUGUAAUGAGAAGCUACAACCUGCAUCUGCAUCUGCAUCUGCAUGUAAAACAAUGCUUUAUUUCUUUAGAAUAUGUGUAAUUAACAAGUCAGGGCAAAUAAAACAAAUCUUUAUUUCUUUUUCCUCUUCUUCAUAUCUAUAAAUUUUAUAGUUUACCCCCCCCCCCCCCAAAGAGUAGAGUUUAACAUUACCUAGAUUGCAGGCCAUAUUCAGCUCCUCCAAAUUGCUGAAACCAUAAAAAUCUGAGGAGAAUCAGAAAUGAAAAAUAGUUUAGUUCAAAUAAAGCUUAUGAAUGUAUAUUACUCAUUCAAUAUUUCUUUUUUCUUCUUAAGAAAAUAAAAAUACUGAGGAUGGGGAGAAGGGUGAUUUUUACCUUUCAUAUCUAUUAAUCCAUUGCAUUGAUAGAUAUCAAUCCACAGAGUCUUUAGAUUCGAAAGUGUAGCAAGAGAUGACAUUAUACUAUUGUUGAAAUCAUUACGACUCAAAUCAACAACUUUCAAAUUCAUCAGCCUUAUUCCUGCACCAUUAUCAAGUAACAACAUUUUUAUUUAUUUUAUUCCAUAAAAUAUUUAUUUUUUUAAAUUAACACGUGUUUCUUUUUUUAAAUAUUUUAUUAUAUCUAUAUGGGACACUUGUCAAUCCAAUUACUUUACUUAUGAAGUUUAAAAUCUCCACAAGUAAUAUACCAAAUAUUUUCUCUAAGUUUAUAAUAAAUUUAACAAUAACAAAAUUUUAAAAAAAUAAAUUUAAUGUUAAAUUGAAAAAUUAAAAAAAAUCAUAAAUACCUUGAGAUGGAAUAAAUCCAUUCACUUCAUUACCGGAUAAGAUCAAAUCCUCUAAAUUGCUGAGAGCAUUUAAAUCUGAAGAUAACGUUAUAAAGGAAACUAAAAAUAAGUGUUUUUUCUUUAGCAUGUGAAAACUAAUGGGAACUAUUCAUUUAGCCUACUACAUUAAUUUGAGUUAGAUUUUGAACAAAGUUAUUUUCAAUUUCCCACUUAAUUAUUUCAAAACAAUAAUUAUUCUUUUGUAAAUGUGAAAAUGAGCUUUUCGAUUAAGUUUUGGUCUAGCUUGAACGGGUUUAUUCAGUUUAACUUAUGAAAUUUUUAUUGUCGGUGAUAAAUAUUAGGCUAAGUAUUGAAAUAGAGAUGAAACUUUUUAUGAGUUGCACAUGAAUCAAAACUUCCAAAAUAAUUAAGUAAAAGUUAAGUCUUCCUCAAAUAAAAGAGAAACCUUACAAAAUGACCAAAUAAGGGUUGAACCUUUUCAAUUGUUCUCAAAUAAGGAUUUUUCAAAUACCAUUUAACAUAUUUGAAAUUAUGUUUUUUUUUUCUUUUCAAAUAAUAUCUUAUUAAACCGUCUAUAUUUUAUUCUAAAUACGUCAAUCUUCAUCUAAUUUUUACUUUCGAAAGAGCAUGACUUUUUUUUAAACCAUUUUGAAAGGUAAUUAGGUGCUUGCAAAUAAAUGUUAACAAUUUAUUUAAUAUAAUUACAUAUUAGUAAGUUACAGCCUUUUUAUAUAUAUCUAAUUAAUUGGAAAAUGGAUGAAAAGCAUUUAAUUGUGAAAGGAAAAUUGCAAAUCAUAUAAAAUCAAAAGAUACCAUAUUCUUACCUUUUGUAUAUAUUGCCCCCUCCAAUUGGUUAUAAGAUAAAUCCAAUGACUUCAAAUUCGAGAGCACAGCAAGGGACGGGAAUAUGCUAUUGUUAAAGAGAUUAUCAUAUAAACUAAGUACCUCAAGUUUGUUCAACUUCAUUCCUUCUUUUCCUGAAAAGAAAAAAAAGUUAACGUAAUUUCAUCUUAAAAAAGAUCAUAUGUUUGAAGCCAAGUGAUUUACCAUGGAAUAAAGACCCAAGGCUGUUAAUUUCAUUUCCCCCUAAAUACAACUCCUUCAAGUUCAUCCAAUUAUUAUUGCUUUCUGUUCAUAUCCAAUCAAAAUAUAUGUUAGUUAAUCAAGUUAUUUAAAAAGGGAUAAGAUAACAUUUACUCCCUGAGUUUUGUAAUUUUCUCCAACUUGGUCCUUGAACUAUUUUUUGUCCACAUUAGUCUUGGAAUUUAACUUCUUUCUAUAGCUUUGGUCCAUGAGAUGAUGUCGCACUAUGAGAUUAUGUCAUGUCAUCACCUAAAUUCUUGAAAAUUAUUAAAUUCAAGGACUAAAUGUUGCUUUACCCUUAUAAAAACAACUAACUAAUAAGCUUUCUAUAUUUUUUAAUCAAAUUAAACAUGAUAUUCAAAAAGGAAACAUGACUUGUAUAUCAAGGGUUCCUUUUAGUCCGCAAUACACCAAAUGCAGUGAUUUUAAAGAGGCAAAAUCAUUUAGUUGUGAUAGGAUGUUAUUUCCUAAACGGUUGCUAGAUAAAUCCAAACUUUCUAAAUUGUUCAGCUUUAAUAACAUCUCAAUACCUAUCAACAAUAAUAUUAAAAAAAAAUUGGACAAAACAACUUUAAACUUGGAUCAGCUCUGCAUCAUAUAUAAUUAAAUAUUAACUUUACCGUUGGUAGGAUUUAAUCCUGUGAAUAAAUUAUACUUUAGAUUUAAAGACUUGAGUGAUGCAAGUUCACUUAAGGAUGCUAAAAUGCUAUCGUUGAAAUGAUUUUCACUCAAGUCAAGAUUCUCCAACUUGUCCAACUUUGAUGACAACCUUUCAAAACCUACAAGGAAUAAGGAAAUAUAGUAAAUUAGCAAUGUCGGGGAUAAGGUCUUCGCUCCAAAAAAUAUGGUAAAUUUUUAGUUUAAUCCAUUCCAAAACUAUAAAUUGAUGCAAUAAUUAAAAUGUCAUUUCAACGAUAAACAAGUAGCUGAAAUGAUUUUUUUUAACAUACAAAAUAAGAAAAAUAAAUAAAUGCUCAUAAUAAAGUUGAAAGGUAAUAAACCUUGAUUGACAACACAACCGGCUAUGGAAUUUCCAAUUAAAGAAAGACUUUGUAAUUCCUCAAAAGGAAGAAACAAAGAGGCAUUAAGGUACCAGUCCAUCUUAUUGUAGCCGGAAUAAUUAAGGAAAAGAUGGGUGACUCGUCCAGUUAUUGGGUUGCAUUCAACCCUUUCCCACUCACAACAAUUUGAUGAACUCUCUUUUUUUGGAUUUAACUCAAAGUUAUUGGGUUGAAACUUAUAAUUAAUGAACUCAAAGAAAGGUUUGAGUUGGAAGAGAGCAGAUCUUUCCUCCUCUAAGCACCCAUCACACAGCCCAGCUCCUAAGGAUAACACUACAAGAACCAAGGCCAACCAUUUCAACUCCAUCUCACCACUUUAUGCAUUUGUAGCCAAUGCACAACCCCUUUAUAUGCUAAAAGAAAAAGAAAGAAAGCUUCAUGUUUCCAAGAAAUUCAUUCACAAUCGCUCAAAUUGUUUACUUUGUUUUUCAACUUUAUCAUUGAUAUUUUCAUGGAACCCUCUUAUUUCUCUCUUUUUUCCACAUUAAAGAUACAUAUGUUAAUGCAUAUGGCUAAUAAGGAGUCAAUCCCGUGUGGACCACUAUCUUUUCUUUACUUUCUUUUCAUAUACAGAACAGACUCCUUCAAAUUCAUGUGCCAUUGUUUCUUGUCUUUGAUCAUCCUAAAUGCAUCCACAGUUGUUUCUUCAAUUUCCAAUUGUUGCUGCUUUGCUGAUUUAUUGUGAUAAAAUAAGUUUUAUUAUCAGGAGAAAACCAUUAAAAAAAUUAAUGUAUUAUUAAAAAAAAUUAAAUAAGACCAAAUAGGAAUAUAGUUAACUUUCAUUGUUUAAUGCAAACAUAAUUUUUACUUUUUUUUUCAUUUAGAAUUCAACACCAAACAACCUUUGUUGAAACAAUGAAUGAUAUUUUUAAAUAGUAAAGGUUAACUUUGUUUAAAUUUGGCUUUAUAUAAUUUUUUUAAAAGUAUAGAGACUAAAUUGAUCCAUUUAAUAAUAGAUGAAUUAAUUUGAUCUGAUCACUAUCACAGAGGGACCUACCAAGUACAUUCACUCUUUUCUAUAGAUAUGGUUUGGUUACACUAGAUGUCCCAAAACUAUGAUCCAUGUUUUAAAUUAGACUUCAAAUUUCAAGAUACUUUAAUUAAGUCAAUAGAUUAUCAAAAUUUCCAUCAAUCUGGGCAUCAUAAUGGGCAUUAAAUACUAACUUAAAUAUUAUAUGGAUCAUAUUUAAAAUAUAUGAAUCGAAUUUUAAUGACAACUUUGAUGUAACAUAUUAAAAAGAAAAAAGAAGUCUCUUAAAUUUUAAAGACACUAUUUUAUAUGAAAGACCUUGUUCAUACAAUAUUCAACAUAAUUCUUAAAUAUAUACACAAUGAAAUAUACUAAUAUUCAACAUUCAAAUUGCAUAUAUAUGAAAUGUUAGAUGCUAUUACUGAUGGUUUUCUAUGAAGUUUUGUUUGAAGGUGGAAAUUUAAUUACAAAAUAAUGAGAAUUUAAUAACAUAUUGGUGUAUUACAAAAUUAAACAUAUUUGACUUCUUUAGGAAAAUAUGUUAACUUCAAUAAAAAUUAAAUAUUUAAAAUUUAUAUUUAAUUUAGUUAUAUAUUAAUCUGAUGAAAUCAUGAAAUUAUUUUAUAUAAAAGUAAUUAGUUGCUAUUAUUGAAAAAAUUAUGAUGUAAAAAAUAAAUAAAAUUAAAAAAAUGAUUAGGCCCCUCAUGCUUCCAAGAAACCCAUUCCACAAAGGGUCCAUUCAUCCCUUAAAUGGUUUAUUUUUUUCCCCAACUUUAUUACUUUUAAUUUGGAUGGGAGACAAUAUCAAUUAACCCACCGCUUACGUCCGGAUUUAAUAAAACAAUUUUUAUUUUACUAUAUUUCAAUUAUGGACCCCCCCCCCCCCCUAUUCAUGAUGAUUUGUUUAAAUUACAGACUCUUUCCACUCGUCCCUUAAAUGGUUUACUUAUUUGAUAUUUUCCAUGGAAGCCUCUUAUUUUCCACGCUAAAGAUAUAUAUGUUAAUGUGUAUAUAAAUGGCUUAGAAGGUGCACAGUGACUCAAUCCCGUGUGGACCCUAAUUCAAACCAUUUUUCUUGUUGCUUUGCGGAUAUUUUAAACGGUAAAUGGUAUUUUUGUUCAAAUUUCACCUUAAUUUAUAUUGUAAUUGUAUAGAGUUUAAAUUGAUUCAUUUAAUAAUAGAGGGACUAAUUUGAUCGGGUCAUUAUAACAAAGAGACUUGCUAGGUACAUUCACCCUGCACUAUAUAUAUGGUUUAAUUAUUCUAAACAUUCCAAAACUAUGAUUCAUGUCUUAAAUUAGACUUAAAAUUUCAAGCUAUUUUAAUUUAGUCAUUAGAAUAUCAAUAUCAUAUCAACCAGUCAUUCCAUGAGUCAGGUUUGAAUAUUAUGUGGAUCAAAUUUUAAAUGCAUAUGUACUUAUCGUAUUAACAACUUAAAUCUGACAUAUUAAAAAAAUGAAAUAGUUCUUUUAAUUUUAAAUGUAUAUUUCUUAUCCAAGUUUUCAAUACAAUAUCCAGCAUAAUUCUUAAAUAUAUAAAUAAAAACUUUGAACCUCAUGUGAUGGCGUGAUGGUUAGGGGUGUUCACUGCCUCAAGUGUGGCCUGAGUUUGAGUUGCGCUAGUCGUAUUGAUUGUUCGGACUUUGCCAUCUUAUUGUAAUUCACCAGAAAGAAAAUCAUGUUUAACUUCAAAAUAUUUUAAAUUUAUAUUUAACUUAGUUAUAUAUUGAUGAUGAGAUGAAUUUAUUAAAUUAUUUUAUGUAAAAUUAAUUAGUUACAAUUAUUAAAAAGAUUAUAAUUGAAAAAUUGAUUAAAAUAUAAAUUUUAAAAAUUUAUUAAGCCCCUUGUGCUUCCAAGAAACUCAUUCCACAAAGGGUCCAUAUAACUUUUUUUUCCCCAACUUUAUUAUUGAUAAAUUCCAGGAAAAGUAUCUUUUUCCAGUCUUCUAUUAAUUUGGAUGUGAUAGAAUACUAACAUUUACAUGACUCGUUAUCACCCACCGCUUAUGCCGGGGUUUAAUGAAACAAUUUUUUAUUUAAUAUUAAAUUUUGUUUAAAAUUUAUUAAAUAACAAUUAAUUUAUUAAAACUCAUUAGAUAUUAAUUAAUUAUUUAAACUCUUAUUUUGAAUUUUUUUAUCAAAUAUGUUAUAUUUUUGUUAAUUAUAAAAUUUGAAUUUAUGAAAAUAUUUUUUAUUAAAAAUAUAUGAGAACCUUAAAUUUAUUCACAAGUUAUUUUAUGGAUACUUCAUUUUAAAUUAAUCUUAAAAGUGAAUAUUCAAAUCAACCCUUGUGUCGGUAAAUAAUGUUGAGUAUGAGUCAGAUGAUUUAUUGACAUAUGAAAUCAAAUUAAAUAAUAAAAAAUUAAUUUAAUUAUAAAAAAUAUUAAUAUUAUAUAAAAAUAAUAUGUGAGGGAUAAAAUCAGAUUAUGAAAUUAGGUGAAGCUGGCCCAACUUCACGAUUAGACAUGCAAACUUUGUGCUUUCUACGCUACAAGAAAUAGGAAAAACCCCUCAUGCUUAAAUGGUUUACUUUUUGUGCUUUAUAUACUACUAGUUCAAUAAAAUGGGAACAAACGUUGAAGAAUGAAAAAAAAUGGGCUCAUGCUGCUUGAAUGGCAGAAUAGAAAUGGGAGCAACAAAUGUUUGGGUUUUAUUUAUUAAGGAUUUGGACUUUGAGUUUGAUCAUGCUUGGGUUUGACUAAACAACUAUAUGACUAUAUGACUAAACAACUCAAGCCUUCUCCGAAAUAUCCCUCAUGUUUCACUCCGUCUAUGGAUUUGAAUAAGUUGAAGCGAUCUAAUGAUCGAAGAAAAAUGCAAUAGCAAAAUCAUGACGUUAUAAGUUCAGAAACUUAUGUUUGGAGAAUCUAGAGAAAUUAAAUUUAAACGACUUGUAUGACAAACAUUAGUUCCCUCUUUAAUUGUUGGAACUAUCUUCCCUGUAAUGAGUUUUGUUAAUUUGUCUUUCGCUGCUUUCUCUUGAAUGCAGGCUAACUCUUUUGGAUUUUCACUUUCCUCGUAUCAUUAACUGAUUCGGGUUAGGGAUUUUCUAAAACAUUCUCUGCCUUCAGGUCAAACAGAAACUUAGUCCUGCAGCAUAUAAAGAUUUUGUGGGUUAUACGAAGGAAAUAGUCCAAAGUGGUAAAAGAUUGGUAAUCCUCUGCAAUGCAUUGUGGAGUUAUUUUCAGGACCUGAGAGGCUUUCUCUUCUUGAAAGGUAUGCAUCUACUUCAAAAUAGCAAUAAAUUUGAAGACUGAGAGCAAUUACGUUACAUUGUGCGGUUUUAGUAGGCUUAACCUUGUAUACAUUGAGCAGACACUUUCUGAUGCUCAUCCAGUUAAUGCCAUAUUGUGCGGUUUUAGGUUUCACUGGAAAUGUGGCAAAAUUAAUUUCAUAUUCUCAGCAUGAGUUAAUGAUUUAUAAAGCUAAGCCUAACAUUGUCUGAAAUCAUCAAAUAUGUUAGAGCCUUAAAGGCUGCAAGUCCCAUCAGAGGUCUUAUCUGCAACACUAGCAAAGAAACAAAUUGCCUCUAUUCUUUAGCGUGUCAUUCAUUUCCAUGCCCCUUUUUAGCUUGCAACUAUUAUCGAUUAUUUUUAUUGGAUCUUACCCUCUGUUGUCAUCUGUUACAGAUUCAAGGAUUACGUGCCCGCGAUAUAUCGUUCUUUGUAUGAGCAGUACCUCGAAACAAGUACAAGAAAUGCUUGAAAAUCAGAGGAACUAAACUUAUCUGGUCAAAACAGUAAUUAGACGCUCCUUUUGCCAAUGUGAUCGGUUAGAAGUGAAAGAUUGAGACUUUGGCAGCAUUGUACUUUCUAGAUCAACAAUCUUUGAAGAAAUAUACAAACAUUAUGGAAGGUUUGUAUGCAGUAUAUUGCAACUUUGCACAGCGUUUGGAAGCUUUUGGAUGUGUAACCAAGCAGCCAAGUUGCUCAUUUGUUUGUGGAGGAAAGAGACUUAUUCAACAUGAAGGUGGUGUUACACAUAGCAAACAAUAUUUCCAUAAUUAUUUGUUGCUACUACUGAAAUUAUGAAGGACUAGACCUGGUGACAGCUAACAUUUUGUACAAAUUGAAAUCAAACCAACUGAAAUAGCAGUGAAACUAAGAAUAUGGCUUGUGGGAGUUUUUAUUCAGUUCCAUAAGAGCACUUUAAAUCGACGUCUUAACACAGUCGCUACAUAUAAACAUGGCAUUGCAAUCGACAAAUUUCACAACAAAAUUUUCUACAUGUUUCCAGUAUAAAAAUUUCUGGGGAAAUUAUCUAUCAUAAAAUAGUAGCAGGAAUCAACGGCCAUUUGUAUAUAGUAAAACCAUGCUUGCCUCCAAUAAGGAUUUAUGUACAGCACAGCUGCGAUACACAAUAGCACCAUCACGUAACAUGCGAAGAAGCUUGCAUAGAAGGCAUCCAUAUCAAUGAAACCAUGGUCUUCUUUGUUGCCAGCCGAAGCCUUGGGUGUCAAUGGUGUUUCCACGGGCGAACAAUUCUUCCCCACCAAUGAGCCACAAAGAAAAGGAUUCCCGACGUAGUUGCUUUCAUCAAAUGCUCCCAACUAUCCAAUCCUUUCAGGUGUCUUUCCAGAUAAAUUGUUGUAUGACACAUUGAAGUAUUCCAGGAAAUGUAAUACAGCAAAUUCGGCGGGGAUAUUCCCUGUCAAAUUGUUGUAGGAAAGAUCUAGGCUUUCCAUGUCCAUGAGGUUAGAAAAUGCUCGUGGCACAGGUCCGGUCAAGCUAUUGUGAGAAAGGUUCAAUGUGAAGAGUUUCAUAAUGUUUUUUGUUUCAAAACUAAUUUCACCCGUAAGCUUGUUGCAGGAGAGAUCAAUUCCAGACAUGUAUUGAAGCAUUCUUCUCUUGUAAUUGUAGGAUCUGCUCUUUACUGUGUAUUCUAUUGGAACUUCAAUGGACAUCGAGCUAUUCAUACCGGAAUAAAUACUAUACUGCGGAAUAUAUUGCUCAGUCAGAUAGUUCAGCGCAAAAACUUUUAAACAAGAAGGAAUAGCACCAGAGAGAUUGUUUUGAGAAAGAUCAAUCAAGCUUAAACGAUCCAACUUGCAUAAUUGAAUUGAAAUUUCACCCUCAAAGUGGUUUCUCCUUAAGAGAAGAUAACUUAAUUCAGAAAGAUUGCUAACCCAAUUUGGAAUGUUACCCUUCAAGUGGUUGUAGCUGAGAUCCAAUGUCACCAACGAAGAGCUAUCAUGAAAAGCAUUUGGUAACACUCCUUGUAGCUUAUUUUUAAAUAAAUGAACUUCCCUCACCGAUACCGGUUUGAAGCAAGAUGGUAGAGUCCCAGAUAAAUGGUUCAUGGAAAGGUCCAAAAAUUGAAGUUUGAGAUUGAGACUACAAAUUGCCCUUGGUAUUGAACCUUCAAGUUGAUUAUCUGCCAUGGCAACUUGUUCCAAAUUCGAAGCAUUUCCCCUCCAUUGUGGCAACCUACC
rnacentral:lncRNA from 1 species